UACGUAGGAUGCAAGCGUUGUUCGGAAUUACUGGGCGUAAAGAGUACGUAGGCGGUCUUGUAAGUCUGAUAUUAAAGACCGGAGCUCAACUCCGGGACUGUAUCGGAAACUACAAAACUAGAGGACAAUAGAGGAAGUCGGAAUUCUCAGUGUAGCGGUGAAAUGCGUAGAUAUCUGGAGGAACACCGGUGGCGAAGGCGGCAUCCUGGACCAACACUGACGCUGAGUGAGCGAAAGCCAGGGGAGCAAACGGG
rnacentral:rRNA from 1 species